rnacentral:rRNA from 1 species
GAUGAACGCUAGCGGAAGGCUUAAUACAUGCAAGUCGAGCGGUAGGUGGCUUCGGCCAUUGAGAGCGGCGCACGGGUGAGUAACGCGUACAUGACCUGCCUGUCAGAAGGGGAUAGCCCUGGGAAACUGGGAUUAAUACCCUAUGGUAUUGAUAUUAUGAAUGAUAUCAAUUAAAGUUGAGGCGCUGACAGAUGGAUGUGCGUCUGAUUAGCUAGUUGGUAGGGUAACGGCCUACCAAGGCGACGAUCAGUAGGGGGCGUGAGAGCGUGGUCCCCCACACGGGUACUGAGACACGGACCCGACUCCUACGGGAGGCAGCAGUAAGGAAUAUUGGUCAAUGCCCGCAAGGGUGAACCAGCCAUUCCGCGUGGAGGAUGAAGGCCCUAUGGGUUGUAAACUUCUUUUAGAUGGGAAGAAAAUGCUAGAUGUAUCUGGUACUGACGGUACCAUCAGAAUAAGCACCGGCUAACUCCGUGCCAGCAGCCGCGGUAAU